UUUUUUCCCCCGGCAGGGAGAGGAAAACACGCGCGCGCACACACGGUGAUAUCUUGCGGGUGAUGAAUAUGAUAAUUGGACAAGGGACGGACAGAAGAGCUCCUUGGCACUGGAUGCCUCCGGGUCUGGUUGAGAGAGGAAUGGUUAGGAGAUUGUUCUGAGGAUAUGCAGACAUCAUCCAAAGCUUCCUACAUUCAGAUGAGGACAGAGGUUGGGCUAGAGCUUUGUAUGCUUGUUACCUAAGUAUGGUUCUGACCAUGUAAGCAGAUCACAGAAGAGCCAGCCUUGACAAUGUGCUGAUGGCAACCU
rnacentral:antisense_RNA from 1 species